CGAAGCAAAACUGUAGCAGCAGCCGAAACAGUGCUUUUAGACCCGAACCCUGACUUGACCGCGAAAUGAUUGCGUACGAGCCCAUCCCCACGAUAUAUUAUUACCUGUUUAACAAUUUCUGUGUCCUUGUCUUGGUUUUCAGCAAUCAUACAGAACACGCAGAUGUCUUCCAUGUCGCUGGAUAAAUUACUUUGUGUAUCAUCGUGGCGUUGUUGUACAGUGUCCCCUGCGCUGUUCUCCAUUUAGCCGGUCCGGUUCCCGAGAUCUAUUUCCUGAUGGCAGCCGUUUUCGAUUUACCGCUUCCGUAACAGGAAGCAUGUUGUUCACCUCGAGCACUCACAGAAUCCGCCCCUGCAGAUACGCGGUAGCUCCGCAUGGCUGUCCACUGCUUAUGUACAGCCUUCCACAGCUGUAUGGGGCCAGGGAUCACCUGAAAGGACUCUCUCAACAACAAAUACAGGCUUGUAGAGAGGAAUGUUUUCAGAGAUCCAUACCAUUGUCAUGAGACUGUUUUUGACAUUUCAUGCCUUGCAAUGGCAGAGAACAAAUCUGCCUCUACCCACUACUCCCAAUGAAGCUAUCGAAUUGUAUUUGUUCUUACGGGUUUACAUGCUAGCUCAUCUGUAACACAGAGGACUAGAGAUUAACUCUGUUAUCCUGACGCUGAAGGGGACAGACCGAGGUGGCUGCCCUGCUGAUUGAGAGGGGCGCCAACCUGGAGGAGGUCAAUAAUGAGGGAUACACCCCACUCAUAGAGGCUGCAUGAGAGGGGCAAGAGGACAUGGUGGCGCUAUUUUUGGCACAAGGUACCAACAUCAACACUCAAGAGGGGAUCCAGGAGACGGCCCUGUGGGGCCAACUUCAAGCUGGGCUGCUCAACACUUCUCACAGAGGGACACUUGGAGCUAGUCAAAUACCUGCUGGCUGCAGAUCACACACAGACACAACACUCGGGGUGGAAUUUACACCUGUGUUCUUGUACUCCGGAGCCAACGGGCGCUGACCUGUGGCAAAAGUGGAAGUGAACAUGGACAGCGUCUCUAAGCCCGAGUUCUCAUCAAGGAAAGAGAAGGAUGGCUCACUAAGGGAGCUCUACACUCACAAUUCCACUUAGUUCAGGAACUGAAUGGGCAUUCUUAUGGAGAACUCAAAUGUCUUAUUUAACUGAAUUGAGAUACAAUUGAUCUGGCUAAUCCCCGGGUUGGAUGUUAUUUUCUCAAAAUCAAGGUGGUCCCUGACAGUUGGAAGAUAGACAUGAGCAAGAUCUUAGAAUCGGAAGCAGCGACGAGUAGGAGAAGGAAGGAAAGGAGAGCGAAGAGGAACUAAGGAUGGUCACACCAUCGUGGUGUCCUACCUCCUUGACUACCCCAUCCUUAUGGUCCCUGUGCCAAACCUACUGCAUCUCAGCUCUCAUCCCCCUCCCAUGACACCUCAGGCUCCACAACUUCCAUUCCAAACCCUGGCCAUGGUAGUGCCCCCACAAGAGACAGACAGAGUACCCUCCAACAUCACAACACCUCCAUCUGUCAUCACCCACCUGGAGCACGCGCUCCAGCAGCUGUCUCAGACGGCUUCAAGCAGAGGCUGAGCCCCUUCCAGGGUAUCCCACUUGCUGCAGACAGUCCAGACACAGAUCUGCUGCCCCUCUUCUACUUGUACCAGCCACUGGAGUGCAUUGUGGAAGAGACAGAGAGCAAACUGAAUGAGUUCAGCCAAAAGUAUCUCAGCCAUAGAGAAGGCUGAGCUGCAGAAGAAGAAGAUCCUCAAGAAGAAGUUCACCAAAGAGUGCAUGAAGGCCGAAGGCUUGAAGGGUGACCCGGGGCAGCCACCUACCUCUGUAGACCAGCUUCUUACCUUGGCCACUCAGCAUUCUAGACUUUAGUACAGCAGACUACCCCAACAUCACUUGCCCUGCCCUACAGAGGCUGAUGGUGAGCCAGCAGUAGAUGUUGGGACAAUAGUUGACAGGCCUGGGACCCGGGCCUUCUCACUCAGGCCCCUGACAGACUCAUAGUGGCCUUCCCCACACAGACCGUCACUGACACGCUGGUAGACAUCAUGGCAGUUAUGUGAGCAGUUACUGUAGAAGCUGGUUCUUCACUUUCUUUCUUCUUCUAAUAACAAGUAGUAAGUAGCAGUGAGCAGUAGAGUGUCUAUAUUGAACACUACAACCUCGCCCAUACCCAGGCACAGAUGCCCAUCAAUUCACUGCCCCCUCCCCCUCUGGACAUCUACGUCACACCACCUAGCUAGAUUCUUAUAUUUAUAUGUACAUUUUUUCUGGGAAAUGUAUAGUUUCUGUGUAGAAGUGGGAGUCUGUGUAUGUAGGUGUUGGAGAGUAAUCUCUCUGUCCCCUGCUUUCACUCCUCUAAUCCUGACUGCUACAGCGGAUCACAUUGCCGUGGUGGAGAUCCUACUGGAUAAAGGAGAGGACAUCGAAGCCCAGUCUGAGAGAAUCAAAAACACACCUCUCUCCCUGGCCUGCUCUGUAGGAAGACAAGAGGUGACAAAACUGUUGCUGCUGCGUGGGGCCCAACAAGGAGCAGUGUAGCAUUUCAGAUUACUCCUCUCAGCCUGGCCGCCUCAGGGGGCUGCAUCAAUAUCAAGAUCCUCAUGAAUGCUGGUGCUGAAAUCAACUCCAGAUACGACAGUUUAUCAACCUCUGAAACACACAACCAUCCCUGACUAGAAGUACAUUAGGUAGCUCUCUGCUGAUGCUGGCUGCCAUGAAUGGUCACGUCCUUGUGGUCAAGCUGCUGCUGGACAUGGGCUCAGACAUCCACACUCCCAUCGAGACCAAGCGCAACGCAGCACUGACCCUGGACUGCCAACAUGGAGCACCGCUCCAAGUUGAGAGCAGCCACCAUCAGCUGAACUUGGCAGGUCAUGUUAUCUGGGCUAGAGUCAAAGACAUCAGAAAUGAGGUUUGGUGUUAGACAGUGUGGUGUCUGUGUGUUGCAGUAUGUCACUGACCCAUAUGUCCUCUCUUUUUAGACAGGUCUGACUCCUCUCAUGGGGGCUGCAUCGGGUGGCUAAGCUGUGGUGGGGCUGGUGCUGCAGGACAAGCACUAUAGUGUGUGUGACAUGGCGUCUCAAAUCAAAUGUAUUUAUUUAUAUAGCCCUUCGUACAUCAGCUGAUAUCUCAAAGUGCUGUACAGAAACCCAGCCUAAAACCCCAAACAGCAAGCAAUGCAGGUGUAGAAGCACGGUGGCUAGGAAAAACUCCCUAGAAAGGCCAAAACCUAGGAAGAAACCUAGAGAGGAACCAGGCUAUGUGGGGUGGCCAGUCCUCUUCUGGCUGUGCCGGGUGGAGAUUAUAACAGAACAUGGCCAAGAUGUUCAAAUGUUCAUAAAUGACCAGCAUGGUCCAAUAAUAAUAAGGCAGAACAGUUGAAACUGGAGCAGCAGCACGGCCAGGUGGACUGGGGACAGCAAGGAGUCAUCAUGUCAGGUAGUCCUGGGGCAUGGUCCUAGGGCUCAGGUCCUCCGAGAGAGAGAAAGAAAGAGAGGAGGAGAGAAUUAGAGAAUACACACUUAGAUUCACACAGGACACCGAAUAGGACAGGAGAAGUACUCCAGAUAACAAACUGACCCUAGCCCCCUGACACAAACUACUGCAGCAUAAAUACUGGAGGCUGAGACAGGAGGGGUCAGGAGACACUGUGGCCCCAUCCAAGGACACCCCCGGACAGGGCCAAACAGGAAGGAUAUAACCCCACCCACUUUGCCAAAGCACAGCCCCCACACCACUAGAGGGAUAUCUUCAACCACCAACUUAACAUCCUGAGACAAGGCCGAGUAUAGCCCACAAAGUUCUCCACCACGGCACAACCCAAGGGGUCUCAACAGACCAUCCUCAGUGGUGGACUUUUACCUCUGACACAUUACAUCAGCACCCGUCAUGAAUCUCAUUAUCUUCCUGAGUCCAAUCUAGUCCAACCCUCUGAUAUAUAGCUGGAAAUAUCGGAAAUUCUGAAUCUCUGCCUGAUUUUGUGGGGAUGCCUGCAGUAACUUCAAAAGUUUUCUAGGUGCCGGCUUAUCCUUUUUCCUCUAGAGUGUUUGUGACAGCACUUCUCUUGCAGCAUCCAACACAUUAUCAUAUUAUUGUGGUAUGAACUUCAAUGUCCGGAGGGGUUGUGGAAUGAACUCUGAUGUUUGGAGCGGAUGUGGUGUGAAAUCUAACAUCCGGAAGGGUUGUAGAGUGACUUCUGACAUCUGGAGGGGUUUGUGAUGUGACUUCGGUCUUCUGCAGGGCAUGUGGUGUGACAUCUUUUGUCUGGAGGAGUAUCAAUUAUAAAAGCGAUCAGUUACUGUAAGGGGUCUAGGUUGUGUAGCUCAUUCUGUUGGCUAUAUACAAAUACCAGUAUGUCAUCCAGCUGAUACGGAAGGGGUUCUCCAAUGUGUAGCACAAACUAUCUUUGAUACAGUUGAAGUCAGAAGAUUACAUACAUUUAACUCAGUUUUUCACAAUUCCUGACAUUUAAUCCUAGUAAAAAAAUCCCUGUUUUAGGUCAGUUAGGAUCACCACUUUAUUUUAAGAAUGUGAAAUGUCAGAAUAAUAGUGGAAUGAUUUCAGCUUUUAUUUCUUUCAUCACAUUCCCAGUGGGUCAGAAGUUUACAUACACUCAAUUAGUAUUUGGUAGCAUUGCCUUUAAAUUGUUUCACUUGGGUCAAACAUUUUGGGUAGUCUUCCACGAGCUUCCAACAAUAAGUUGGGCGAAUUUUGGCACAUUCCUCCUGACAGAGCUGGUGUAACUGAGUCAGGUUUGUAGGCCUACUUUCUUGCACACGCUUUUUCAGUUCUGCCCACACAUUGUCUAUGGGAUUGAGGUCAGGGCUUUGUGAUGGCCACUCCAAUAUCUUGACUUUGUUGUCUUUAAGCCAUUUUGCCACAACUUUAGAAGUAUGUUUUGGGGUCAUUGUCCAUUUGCGACCAACAACACUACAUAUUUUUGGGUUCUGAGAAUAUGAAAAUAUACUUGUGCAUGUCACUGAUGGAGUGCUGAGGUUUAGAGGGUCUAUACCAGAAGUUAAUGGUUAUAGGAGGAAGGUAUAUAGUGCGUGCAAUUAAGGUUGGAAUGUGUAGGGGAGCGAUUACACGUGGCAGGCAUUGAUAAGAGGAGAGAGCCAUGGAUUAGUGAUUGAGGGGGGGUUGAGGUCAGGUCAGGGUCACCUUAACCUCUCUGGGAUCAUUCGGGACGCUAGCGUCCCACCUCGCCAAAAGCCAAUGAAAUUGCAGGCGGCCAAAUUCAAAACAGAAGUCUCAAUUAAAAUUCCUCAACCAUACAAGUAUUUUACACCAUUUUAAAGAUAUACUUCUCGUUAAUCCAACCAGUGUCCAAUUUCAAAAAGGCUUUUCGGCGAAAGCAGAACAUAUCAUUAUGUUAGGUCAGAAACUAGUCACAGAAAGCAUUCAGCCAUUUUCCAACCAAAGAGAGGUGUCACAAAAAGCAGAAAUAUAGAUCAAAUUAAUCACUAACCUUUGACGAUCUUCAUCAGAUGACACUCCCAGGACUCAAUGUUACACAAUACAUGCAUGUUUUGUUCGAUCAAGUUCAUAUUUAUAUCCAAAAACCUCAGUUUACAUUGGCGCCAUGUUCAGAAAUGCCUCCAAAACAUCCAGAGAAAUUGCAGAGCGCCACAGCAAAUAACAUAAAUACUCAUCAUAAACUUUGAUGAAAAAUAUGUUUUACAUAGACUUAAAUAUAAACUUGUUCUUAAUGCAACCGCUGUGUCAGAUUUCUAGAAAAGCUUUACGGCAAAAGCACAAUAUUCAAUAAUCUGAGAACAGCGUUCAGCCACAAAAGUCAUAGUUACCCACCAAAUUGCGGAGUCAACAAAAGUCAUAAAUAGCAUUAUAAAUCUUCACUUACCUUUGCUGAUCUUCGUCGGAAUGCACUCCCAGGACUCCCACAAGAAAUGUUAGUUUUGUUCGAUUACGUCCAUAUUUAUGUCCAAAUACCUGUUUUGUUCCCUAUUCCAAAAAGGCACAAUGUGCGAGUGCAAAAUCCAGACGAAAAGUCAAGAGAGUUUCAUUACAGUUUGUAGAAACAUGUCAAACAAUGUUUACAAUCAAUCCUUAGGGUCUUUUUAUAAUAAAUCUUCAAUAAUAUUCCAACCGGACAAUAGCGUAUUCAUUACAGAGGAAAAAGAAGGAACGGCGUGACCGCGCAGUAAACAACUGAUUGGCCUCAGCCUAGUCCAUUUGUUGAAACAGCUCUUAUAUGACACUCUUUCACAAUAGAAGCCUCAAGCAACUUUCUAAAGACUGUUGACAUCUGCUGGAAGCCUUGGGAAGUGCAACCUGGCCCCAUAGACACAGCAUAUUGGAUAGGCAAUCACUUAAAUGAAACUACAAACCUCAGAUUUCCCACUUCCUGGUUGGAUUUGUCUCAGGUUUUUGCCUGCCAUAUGAGUUUUGUUAUACUCACGGACAUCAUUCAAACAGUUUUAGAAACAUCAGUGUUUUCUAUCCAAUACUACUAAUAAUAUGCAUAUAUUAGCAUCUGGGACAGAGUAGCAGGCAGUUUACUCUGGGCACGUUAUUCAUCCAAGCUACUCAAUACUGCCCCCGUGUCACCAAGAAGUUAAGGGAGAAAUAAAAGUUUAUGGCCCGUAUCACUAGUGUCCUGCCUAGCAGUAAAGAACAAUGUUUGUACAGAUGUGUAGGAGGAGACUCAGCCUAUGAGGAAGGGUUAAAUAUCAGUGCUUGUAAAGAUGUGUAGGAGGAGACUCAGCCUAGGAGGAAGGGUUAAAUAUCAGUGCUUGUGUGAAAAUGUGUUUGUCUAAUGCAGCUGUAUUGAUCCUCUGGGAAGAAUAAACUUGGUUCAGCUUU